rnacentral:rRNA from 1 species
AACGAACGCUGGCGGCAUGCCUAACACAUGCAAGUCGAGCGAGACCUUCGGGUCUAGUGGCGCACGGGUGCGUAACGCGUGGGAACCUGCCCUUAGGUUCGGAAUAACUCCCGAAAGGGGUGCUAAUACCGGAUAAUGUCUUCGGACCAAAGAUUUAUCGCCUUUGGUUGGGCCCGCGUUGGAUUAGCUAGUUGGUAGGGUAAAAGCCUACCAAGGCGACGAUCCAUAGCUGGUCUGAGAGGAUGAUCAGCCACACUGGGACUGAGACACGGCCCAGACUCCUACGGGAGGCAGCAGUGGGGAAUAUUAGACAAUGGGCGAAAGCCUGAUCCAGCAAUGCCGCGUGAGUGAUGAAGGCCUUAGGGUUGUAAAGCUCUUUUACCCGGGAUGAUAAUGACAGUACCGGGAGAAUAAGCUCCGGCUAACUCCGUG